GGCUGCAUUGGUACUCCUCAUCUUUGGAAGUAUACAUCAAGUGGACUCCACAUCUUUUCACCUUUAACUUUACUACAUUAAGUUGCAUUGCAUCACCAACAGUAUACCCAUAGUGUUCUGCUUUGAACUCGAACUCAAUCGAAAGCUCGUUGACGUCAGAAUACUUUUGUAUGAGACAACUUUCAAUGUAGUAAUGAUUGUGCCAAAGGAACAC
rnacentral:misc_RNA from 1 species